rnacentral:lncRNA from 1 species
GGACUUCGGCUUCGACCCCCUGGGCCUCGCCACCGUUCCGGAGAACUUCGAGCGGUUCAAGGAGUCCGAGGUCUACCACUGCCGCUGGGCCAUGCUCGCCGUGGUACGCCGCUGUGCUGCCUCUCUGAUUACUUACGAUCAUGUCAUGAACUAUGGCAUGGACCUGACCGAUGAGCUUUGCAAUUGUGUGGCAUGCAGCCCGGGAUCUUGGUGCCUGAGGCGCUGGGCCUUGGCAACUGGGUGAAGGCGCAGGAGUGGGCGGCCGUCCCCGGCGGGCAGGCCACAUACCUGGGCAACCCGGUGCCGUGGGGCACGCUGCCCACCAUCCUGGUGAUCGAAUUCGUGGCCAUCGCCUUCGCCGAGCACCAGCGCACCAUGGAGAAGGACCCCGAGAAGAAGAAGUACCCCGGCGGCGCCUUCGACCCGCUCGGCUUCUCCAAGGACCCCGUCAAGUUCGAGGAGUACAAGCUCAAGGAGAUCAAGAACGGUGAGUCUCCUGGUUUUGUGUACUAUAUGAUCUCGUUGUUGUAGUGACAGCCUCCCACUCCAUUGAUCAUACGCUAACCACUGGGCAUCGUCUAAACGAUUGUGCAUGAUGAUGAGCAGGCCGGCUUGCGAUGUUGGCGUUCGUGGGGUUCUGCGUGCAGCAGUCGGCGUACCCCGGCACCGGGCCGCUGGAGAACCUGGCUACCCACCUCGCCGACCCGUGGCACAACAACAUCGGCGACAUCAUCAUCCCCAGAACGAUCUACCCUUGAGCUGAGAUGAUUGUGAGAGAAGAGGAUGAGACGAGACAGGAGAUGGGGCUGUGCUGGGAGUGUGGAUGAUGUUCUAUGUGUGUGAUUGGUUGGUUACUGGGCACUGCCUGCGUGCGUGCAGGAACUGUACAACGAACAACGACGGCGACUUUCCGGCCGGCCGGGAACCCCUUAUAAUGUAAAGCUUAUUAUUAUUAAGUAGCGGCUACCCUUAUGAAUCCACCCAAGUUUUGUGCCAAAACCAAACUAUAGCUUUGCUAUGUUCCCCAUUGUUUUGCCGAAGGGCAAAUCAGAGGAAGUUCAGCGUGUGUUUGAUUUGGGAUCAAAUGAGAUGUGUUGGAUUCAUCCUACUUUUCUUGGUCAGGUUCAAUCCGUCUUGUGUUUGGUUGGGAGGGAUGUGUCCAUCUUGGUUUUUUUGAAAGGUGAGAUUUAAUACCGUUAACCACGGUUAAUCUCAUCUGUCAUCCAUGGAUCUCAUGUGCCAUCCUAAUUUCCCUUACAUUUGUUUUCUUUUAGCCUGCCUUAUCUUCUUGUGACGCUUCCUCAACGCGCCCUCCUUCACCAUGUCACCUCUCUAUUGUGCCAUCCUCCCCUGCCGCCCUCCUGUAAUACCCCGUCCUCCAAAGCUGCACCGCCCAACCCUUUUGAGGGGCGGGCACGCAUAUACAUAUCAUCCUACUUACACUUUUGUCGUCGCUUUGUGUAAAAGAUUUAACCCGAAGGUGCUAUGGCUGGUGGACAGAGGUUUAUAAGUUAGCUCCACCUUGCUCAACUAGCAAGGUGGUACUAAACAUGCGCACCUAUGCUCAUGGGCCACUACUGGGCCAUCCAAAAUUGGACCGGGUGCUACAUACACCCCCCUCAAAGAACCCGACGUCCUCGUUGGUCCAACUCACCCACACUUAGCGCACGACCGUACGUCCAUUGCCGGCGCCAUAUGUCAUGCCGUGUGUCCCAUCUAAAGCCCACACACGACAUGCGUCAUAUGCCUGCACACUGACCCGUACGCGCAACCGCAAGGGUUAGCUCUGAUACCACUUGUAACACUCCGUUCUCCAAAGCUGUCCCGCCCAAACAUUACGAGAGGGCGGGCACAUGUACACAUAGCACUGUACUUACACUUUCGUUCUUGUUUCGUAUAAAAGGGUUAACCCAAAGGUGCUAUGGCUUGUGGUCAAAGGCUUAUAAGUUGGUUCUGCUCUUGCUCAACUAACAAAGUGGUACUAAAUAUGCAUACCUGCGCUCAUAGGUCACUACUGAGCCAUCCAAAUUUGAGCCGGGUGUCACAUCUCCACUCCUCACACCUCUCCACCCUGUUCCUCCACAGCAUCGGCCGCUGUAGCUCGUGCCCCCAAUACACCUCGGGCUGGUCCCAACUCACUCAGGCAGAGCUUGCCCCACCUAGCGGCGGA